UGUUCGUACGGACUCAACGUGUUUGCGUUUGUUUUGCGUGCGGUACGCGAGGACGGAUAAAUAGCAAGACGUUUUAUUCGACUGUUGUGCAACACCCUCUUUUAUUCUAUACCAUUUCAUUCUGACUAAAAGCUUGCAAGUCGGGGUUUCAUUCAAGCGCUGGAAGAAAACUUCGAGCAAGUAACAACGCGCAUGCGCAAUAACACGACGCUCAGAAAGGAAGACAAAUCUCCAGCGAUGUUUAGAAAAACAAUGUUUCUCACUUGAUUGCCAAGCCUUGCACUUUAAUCAUUAGUGCCACAGAGCUCAAAGGUUAAACACAUUACAUUUCUUUCCCUUCUGGAUAUGCCCAUCUUGGAUUCCAAAAAUCUGCAGUGCUCUGAGGCCCAAUGCAGCCAUGGAAACACUCCACAAAACACCUGUCAGACCUGUUCCCGUUCAAACACCUGCUGCAGGAAUCACAGCCUACCAUCAUGGGAGAUCUCUACAAGGGGCCAAGCAGGUUUUUUCUGGGUGCACACAGUGUGCAUAUAAUAUAUGCAGAGAUUGAGUGUUGCUCUAGCUGUCUUCUUCCAGCCUGCUGAGUUUCCUGCAGGGCAGACUACAGUGUUUCAAAGCAGAUGCAUAGCGACUGACAGCCUUCUUUAGUGACACGGGAUGCUGUUCUCCGUCUACAAUCCGGAACAUAUUGACACUCCAGUCAUCUGCCAGCGUGCCACAGGCUACAUGUAGGAUCAGUUUUUCUUCAAUAUCCAUCGCUGACUUGAGGUUUUUUUAGUGCCUGGGAAUAUCAGACAACUAGACGCUCUAGUCAAUGCAGUCGAUGUGGAGAUGGGACUCCGCAAAGACGAGUAAUUAGGCCUGUGGCAGAAGUCCAGCCACCCCAUGCCUCAGUGUGCGUGUGUGUUUGAGCCAACGACUGGUUAAAGUUCCUGUAGUGUGGAUAGGUUGAAAGACUAAAUGGACUCAAAGGCGAGCACGUCUUCUCAAGAACUCAGAUGUGGUUUUUGUAGCCGGUGCUUUGAUGUGUCUCUUUGUGUGUACCUUUGCCCUCCUUUGAUUGUUCCCUCUCUACUUUCCUGGAUGUAAACGCCUACACAAGUUGAUGUCACAUUAGUUUCAAACAAAAACAAGUGAAAACCUUUUGGAAAUGGCUGGUGGCUUAUCUUCUAGGAUGCAGAAGAAAGAUCCUGGAAGUCUUCACAUCCUUAUCUUCAACUGAUUUACUGUACUUUUGAUGCUUCAUGUAAAUACUCCCUGUUUUUGAUUUUUUAUUUUUUUUUCCUUAUGUAGCUUUUCCUGGGGUAUUUAGGGUUCUGCUCAUCAUCGUCAAAGGUUUCCUUAUUCGAGAGCAGCAAGGUUUAAGGGCCGGUUUGGCAGCCUGGCUCCAGCACCAGCCCCACUGGAAAAGGAGUAGGCCUAUGUUUCAAGAUACUUUGUUCUCUUGUCUGCAUGUCUCUCUUGCUCACUCAUAGGCAUUGCUAGGCCAUAUUUACUGUAGGAGGACUUCAACCAUUGUCUUUUCAUCUCAGACCCUCUAAAAGUCUAUUUACUCUGCUGUCAGCCCUUUUAAAAAUCAGUGAUUAUGUGAUCUUCAUGUUUACUGAGAACAGCAGCUGCAGUAAGCUAUCACAGGUUAUUUCACUCCAAAUCCUCUCCUUAUCAGAUGUUUGAAACGUCCCUGUAGUUGUUGGCGGACAUGGUCAAAGGUGAUAUAAGGUGGCAAUGCAUAAAGCUGUCACAGAUGUCACUUGCUUGAAUGCUUGUUGCAUUGAAAUCCCAAAAUAAAAUGCAACCAAAUCUACUGUUAUUGAAAUACAUGUAACACUUACAAAAGUAUGCAAUUUGACAUUUUAUAUAUAGCUAUGUAUAUGUGUGCUUAAAGAGAAUUUAGUACAAUGGCAAUACAAGUGACUCACUUUAAUGCUUAAAGUACAGUGUUAAAAAAAAAUGUAUUGUCUUAAUGAUCAUUUUCUAAGUGCGCCAAUUUAAGCAAUUGUGCAGUUAAAUAAAGGCUGGCAUUGCUCUCCUGUUCACUGUCCAGUGCUUUUCUUUUUUGCUGACACUCUUGGGUACUUAGCAUAAGCACUAAGCAUUACAGUGAGUCACAAUGUACUGCCAUUGUAUUAAAUUCACCCAAUCGGAUAUUAAAUGAUCACCUUUCGUGUUUGCAGAAGAAAGAAAGUGUCUUUUAGUCCAUGUAUGUUUACUUUGAGGCAUGCAUUUAUAUGUUGGUGUACUCCUAAAUAUUGACAGUUUACUUUUAGCAGAUAUAUAUUUAAAAUAUAUUUCUCUGUAACAGUCCAAAAUAUUGAUGACUUCAAUAUUAAAGCACUAAACAGAUUUUUGUCCA